rnacentral:rRNA from 1 species
UACGGGGGGAGCAAACGUUGUUCGGAAUCACUGGGCGUAAAGGGCGUGUAGGCGGCUGAAUAAGUGGGAUGUUAAAUCCCCCGGCUCAACCGGGGACCUGCAUCUCAUACUGUUCAGCUCGAGCACAUCAGAGGAGACUGGAAUUCCCGGUGUAGCGGUGAAAUGCGUAGAUAUCGUGAGGAAGACCAGUGGCGAAGGCGGAUCUCUGGACAGCUCCUGACGCUGAGGCGCGAAGGCUAGGGGAGCAAACGGG